GGAGAAGGCUUCUUUGGUGUGGAGACCCUGCUCUGACCUGGAGACUGUAUCACACCUUUUAAACCUUGCAUGUUCCAGUGCUCUACCAGGAGGGGGCACUAACCUGGAGCUCGCUCUGCACUGCCUUCACGCUGCUAACGGUAACAUCAUGGAUGCUUUGGAGAUGCUCUUUAGAUCUGAUCCCCAGGAAUUAUUACCCCA